UACGUAGGGGGCUAGCGUUGUCCGGAAUCAUUGGGCGUAAAGCGCGUGUAGGCGGCCCGAUAAGUCCGCUGUGAAAGUCCAGGGCUCAACCCUGGGAUGCCGGUGGAUACUGUCGGGCUCGAGUCCGGAAGAGGCGAGUGGAAUUCCUGGUGUAGCGGUGAAAUGCGCAGAUAUCAGGAGGAACACCAAUGGCGAAGGCAGCUCGCUGGGACGUGACUGACGCUGAGACGCGAAAGCUAGGGUAGCGAACGGG
rnacentral:rRNA from 1 species